rnacentral:rRNA from 1 species
CCUACGGGGGGCAGCAGUGAGGAAUAUUGGUCAAUGGACGAGAGUCUGAACCAGCCAAGUAGCGUGAAGGAUGACUGCCCUAUGGGUUGUAAACUUCUUUUAUAUGGGAAUAAAAUGUUCCACGUGUGGGAUUUUGUAUGUACCAUAUGAAUAAGGAUCGGCUAACUCCGUGCCAGCAGCCGCGGUAAUACGGAGGAUCCGAGCGUUGUCCGGAUUUAUUGGGUUUAAAGGGAGCGUAGGUGGAUUGUUAAGUCAGUUGUGAAAGUUUGUGGCUCAACCGUAAAAUUGCAGUUGAAACUGGCAGUCUUGAGUACAGUAGAGGUGGGCGGAAUUCGUGGUGUAGCGGUGAAAUGCGUAGAUAGCACGAAGAACUCCGAUUGCGAAGGCAGUUCACUGGACUGCAACUGACACUGAGGCUCGAAAGUGUGGGUAUCAAACAGGAUUAGAUACCCCUGUAGUC